rnacentral:lncRNA from 1 species
UGAAUUAAGAAAAAAAUGGCGGUGUGAUUUCAAGAAAUAUUUUCAAGUCAUCAACAACAAAAAUGCUCCAACAGUUGAUCACCAUCUGGAUGCUACUCAACAAAGGAAAUUCUGAAAAUGGCAUUGCUCUGCUAAACUGUAACAAUGACACUUUGCAGCACACUAUAAUUUCCACAAAAAUUAACAACUUGUAUGUUUUUUUUUUUUUAUAUGGAAAUUAACAACUUGUAUGUUGAACGAAUGAACAGUCUCGACCAAAGAGCUAACUUUAUUUCCAAAGUUUCCUCAUUACAGAGUCUAAAAGUAAAUGCACAACACACCAACAGAACAAUAUAUCCCAAUUAAAUCUCAUGAUAUCCUUUUUCUUUCCCUCGAUAACCGAAUACAAGGAGCACAUCAACCUACUACAAAUCAAAGGAAGAAUCAUAUAAAUAUAAAUGGUAAUAAACGGCAGCAAGCAUGCUAGGGAUAUGAAAUCAGAAGCUAAGCCACUGCAAGCCUAUCAGGGUCCGUUGUCUUGGCUCUCAUGGAAUUUAGUUAUGAAGGCAGAGGCUUUCUUGUUGAUGUUCGGAUCGGCAACAAAUCCCAAUCGGUCCUCAUCACUGGGCCUGACUUUACUUGAGGUGCACCUCACCUCACCCUCAGCUUCUUCAUAGUGAGGAGAAAAGCAGCUGCAGAACGCGGAUUUGGAAGAGGACCCUCCCAUUUCUCUCUGGCUACCUGCUCUCUCCUGAGCUCCCACUCUUGGCACUCUUUGGUUGGGCCAGGGAUGCCCCUUCCCCCCAACCCAAUUUAUAGACGUGAGAGCUUUCCCUGAGCCAAUGGAGGCGGGGGGAGCCGCAUGGCCCGCACAAGAGUCGGUGCGCUUCGCAAAC